UACAGAGGGUGCGAGCGUUGUCCGGAAUCACUGGGCGUAAAGGGCGCGUAGGCGGCUUGAUAAGUAGGGGGUGAAAUCUUGCGGCUCAACUGCAAGGCUGCCUCCUAAACUGUCAGGCUUGAGCACAGUAGAGGCAGGUGGAAUUCCCGGUGUAGCGGUGGAAUGCGUAGAGAUCGGGAAGAACAUCGGUGGCGAAGGCGGCCUGCUGGGCUGUUGCUGACACUGGAGGCGCGACAGCGUGGGGGAGCAAACAGG
rnacentral:rRNA from 1 species